rnacentral:rRNA from 1 species
AUUGAACGCUGGCGGCAGGCCUAACACAUGCAAGUCGAGCGAGCGGCGGACGGGUGAGUAAUGUAUGGGGACUGCCCGAUAGAGGGGGAUAACUACUGGAAACGGUGGCUCAUACCGCAUACUAUCGGAUAACCCAUAUGGGAUUAGCUAGUAGGUGGGGUAAAGGCUCACCUAGGCCACGAUAUCUAGCUGGUCUGAGAGGAUGAUCAGCCACACUGGGACUGAGACACGGCCCAGACUACUACGGAGGAAGCAGUGGGGAAGAUUGCAAAAUGGGCGCAAGCCUGAUGCAGCCAUGCCGCGUGUAUGAAGAAGGCGUUAGGGUUGUAAAGUACUGUCAGCGGGGAGGCGUUACCCAAAGAAGAAGCACCGGCUAACUCCGUGACAGCAGCCGCGGUAAUAC